CCCCCCCCCCCCCCCGCGGCCGGGCCAAGUCAGGCAGGGCAGCGCGGCGUGACGAGCGCCGGGCACCCGCAGCCCCGGCGGCGAGCGGCUCCCGCACCGCCCCGCGCAGCCCCGCACCGCGCCGGCGGCUCCCUCCCGCGGCGGAGCGCGGCGGCCGGGCACCAUCGCCGCCCGCGGACCAUCGCCGCCCCGCGAACGGGCAGAGGCGCAGCGCGAGUGACCCGGUGCGGCGAGUCACUGGUCGGGCUCGCAGGGGGAGCCCCGCGGCGCAGCGAGCUCCGUCACGGAGAGCAGGAGGGACCGUUCCAGAUAACUGCUGAAUUUGGAAGACCCUUCAAGUGUCAGCCCCGCCAGAAACACGCAGGUACAAACAACUGAGCAGAAAAGGAAGACGCCUGCAUGCCUAGGAAGCUUCCCUUCCGAAACCCCAGCGGAGUCCUCUACCAGCAAAGGCAGAUGCUUCCUAUCUACAAUGCGCUCUACCCAGAGAGGAAAAUAAAUGCAGAACUAAAGUGCCAAGAGAUAUGCUGAAAGACACAAGCCACCUCUAGUGAAAUUGCUUCAAAAAUAAGAACAGAAGUACAUCAGUUUAUCUAUAUUCUACAUAUAUUAGAAGAUUCACACACUGCAAAAAUGGACGAGCAAUUCUUAACUGUACUCCUGUGGUGUUAAUACUCGCUUUGUAGUAUAUUUCUCAGUAGUAGUAACCACUUAGAUUAUGAUCCUCAAUUAUGUUCUCCACAGUGGUUUUGUUUUUUAAACAUAAAAUGAAAUUCCCCUCCUCUUUCUGAAAGAAUUGAGUUUCGAAAAGACCCUCCAAGUGACCCCUCAAAUAAAGAUAGUGAGAGAAAAAGAGAGAGAGAGAGAGAGAGAGAGGGAGAGAAAGGAUACAGGUACCUCAUGCAAAAACUGUAAUUUAAAAUGAUAUCCUGUACUGAAAAAUCCUUCCAGCCCUCAACCCUUAUGUGACUUUUCCCUUAUUUCUCCUUUUUUCCUCCUUUCACAUAUACUCACACAUGUAAAAUGGAAACAGGAGAAGUAGAGCGAUAUAGCAGAAGUCAUCUCAGUUUCACAGAGCACUUUGAGAUUGUCAGAUGAAAGGCAAAAUCUGAAUGCUCAGGAUUUAUUAUUUGGAAACAACCCAGCGGUGGAAGGAUUCACAGAGCAGUGUCUGCAUGCUGCGAGAACACAGCUUUACUUGUUUCCGGUGAGCUGCACGUCUGAGAAGGCACAAGGGACUGCAUAUGAGACCUGCUCUGCAAAGACUUAACACGUGCACAUGUAAUCUUGGAAUUUUAGGAAGGUCCCAUGUGUAAAAAAUAAAGUGUUUUAUUGGUAUAGAAA